GACAGAGGAUGCAAGCGUUAUCCGGAAUGAUUGGGCGUAAAGCGUCUGUAGGUGGCUUUUUAAGUCCGCCGUCAAAUCCCAGGGCUCAACCCUGGACAGGCGGUGGAAACUACCAAGCUGGAGUACGGUAGGGGCAGAGGGAAUUCCUGGUGUAGCGGUGGAAUGCGCAGAUAUCAGGAAGAACACCCGUGGCGAAGGCGGCUCUCUGGAACGCAACUGACGCUGAGACGCGAAAGCGUGGGGAGCAAACAGG
rnacentral:rRNA from 1 species